GACGUAGGGCGCGAGCGUUGUCCGGAUUUAUUGGGCGUAAAGAGCUUGUAGGCGGUUUGUCGCGUUCUGCUGUGAAAAUCCGGGGCGUCAACCCCGGACUUGCAGUGGGUACGGGCAGACUAGAGUGUGGUAGGGGAGACUGGAAUCCUGGUGUAGCGGUGAAAUGCGUAGAUAUCGUAAGGAAGACCAGUGCGAAGGCGGGUCUCUGGACAGUUCCUGACGCUGAGGCACGAAGGUCAGGGGAGCAAACGGG
rnacentral:rRNA from 1 species